rnacentral:tRNA from 1 species
AAAAAGAUAAGCUAAACUAAGCUAGUGGGUUCAUACCCCAUUUAUGAGAAAGAUCUCUCUUUUUA